AGGGGUGAUGUGGGGCUGGCUCUCAGUCCCCGCCUCGUGGGGGGUGCCUCCCGCUCCUGCGAUGGUGGUCCUAAGAGCCAGAGGGGGAAGAGGGGCUGGCUCUCAGUCCCUGCCUCGUGGGGGGUUGCCUCCCCCCCCUGCGAUGGGGGUCCUGAGAGCUGGGGGGAUGAGGGGCUGGCUCUCAGUCCCCGCCUCGCGGGGGUGCCUCCCCCCCUGCGAUGGGGGUCCUAAGAGCCGGGGGCGGAAGAGGGGCUGCCUCUGAGUCCCUGCCUCGUGGGGGGUGCCUCCCCCUCCUGCGAUGGUGGUCCUAAGAGCCAGAGGGGGAAGAGGGGCUGGCUCUCAGUCCCCGCCUCGUGGGGGGUGCCUCCCCCCCUGCGAUGGGGGUCCUGAGAGCCAGGGUCGAAAGAGCGGCUGGCUCUGAGUCCCCGCCUCGCGGGGGGUGCCUCCCCCCCCUGCGAUGGCGAUCCUAAGAGCCGGGGUCGGAAGAGUGGCUGGCUCUGAGUCCCCGCCUCACGGGGGGUGCCUCCCCCCCCUGCGAUGGGGGUCCUAAGAGCCUGGGGCGGAAGAGGGGCUGGCUCUCAGUCCGUGCCUCGCGGGGGUGCCAUCGCCCCUGCGAUGGUGGUCCCAAGAGCCAGCGGGGGAAAAGGGACUGCCGCUCAGCCACCACAGCAUGGGGGGCCUUUAUGUUCAGGUUUUGCCCAAGAGUCAGCUUAUUUGCUUCUUGUACUGGCAGGGCAGUUGCUGCCAAGGCCCUCAACCACGGGAGCCAUCCUUCGGAAACCCUGUCUAGUUGUUCAGAGACGUAGGCCACCGGCCUCAGCCAGGGCCCCACAGUUUGGGUUAAAAGUCCAGCUGCCAUCUUUUCUCUCUCUAACGCAUACAAUGGAAAAGGCUUUGCCAGAUCGGGUAUCCCCGGGGCUGGGGCUGCCAGAAGUUUUUCCUUUAACUCAUGAAAGACUUGCUGUUCUUGGGAUCCCCAUUCCAAAGGUUCCGGUCCCCGCCCCCUUUGUGACCUCAUACAAAGGCUUGGCUAAUACUGCAAAGUUUGGGAUCCACAGUCUACAAAACCCCACAGCCCCUGAGAGUUCUCUCGGCUGCCUUCGGCCCUUAGGCUCUGGUAGAUUGCAAAUAACCUGCUUUCUUUCUGUUCCCGGGUGACGUCGGACCCCUGUCGGAGAGUAAAUCCCAAGUAAGGUACCUGCCGUCGGCAGAUUUGAGCUUUCUUCUUGGACACCUAAUACCCACAGUCCUCCAGGCUCCGGUAGAUUGCAAACGACCUGCUUUCUUUCUGUUCCCGGCGUUUGGACCCCUGUCGGAUAGUAAAUCGCAAGGAAGGUACCUGCCGUCGGCAGAUUUGAGCUUUCUUCUUGGACACCUAAUACCCAGAGUCCUCCAGUUAAUUUUGGAAGCUACUGUUUUGUCAUCAAAUGCUACCGUUGCUCUAGAUGACAUCAGUGUGUCCCAGGAAUGUGAAAUUUCCUAUAAAUCACUACCAAGGACCAGUACACAAAGCAAGUGGUCUUGCUCUGUUGACCAGACCGUGACCUCCUGGGUUCAAGCGAGGACUCAGCCUCCUGAGUAGCCGGGACUACAGGUUCUUGUUCUGUGAUCCAGGUUGGAGUGCAGUCGUUAUCCAAGCUCACUGCAGCCUUAAACUCCUGGGCUCCGUAGAUCCUCCCACCUCAGCCUGCAAAGAAGCAGGGACUACAGGGUCUUGCUCUGUUGACCUGACCGUGACCUCCUGGGUUCAAGCGAGGACUCAGCCUCCUGUGUAGCCGGGACUACAGGUUCUUCUUCUGUCAUCCAGGCUGGAGUGCAGACCUUAUCCAAGCUCACUGCAGCCUUAAACUCCUGUGCUCCGUGGACCCUCCCACCUCAGCCUGCAAAGAAGCUUGGAUUUCAGAUGGAAUUUUACUGUGUCAAGAAGCAUUGAAUGCUGAGCGGGAGCUAUGUCAUCCAGAUACAGAUCUCUGCAGAUUUGAUGCUACAGAUGAAGAGUUGAGAUUGUGUCAGGCCUGUGGGUUUGAAUUUGACAUGUGUGAGUGGACGUCAGAAGCAUCUGCUGGCCAAAUUUCCUGGAUGCGCACAAAAGCAAGAGAGAUCCCUGCAUUCGAAUCCACACCUCAGCAGGAUCAAGGAGGUGAUGAUGAAGGUUAUUAUGUAUGGGUAGGCGCUAAGCAUGCUUUCACUUUUAACCAUUUAGACAGCAGGGCUUACCUAAAUAGCUCUGUGUGUCAUUGCCUGUGCAAGAGCUGUCAUCUUCAAUUCUAUUAUGCAAUGGAAAGCAGUGUCCUGAGAGUAAGACUGUAUAAUAAUAAGGAAGAAGAAAUAUUUUGGACAUACAACAUAUCAACUCACAGCCAAUGGGUGAAAGCAGAUGUGUUAAUACCAGAAGAUCUGAAGACACUUAAGAUUACUUUUGAAGGGACUCUUUAGAGCCAGAGAAGUUUUAUUGCCCUUGAUCACCUCUGGGUCUAUGCCUGUGGACAGACCCAAUCCAGAAAGCUUUGCUCUGCAGACGAAUUCCCUUGCACUAGUGGCCAGUGCAUCACCAAAGAAUCUGUCUGUGACUCUCGGCAGGACUGCUCCGAUGAGAGUGAUGAAGACCCAGCAACUUGCUCAAAGCAUCUCGCCUGUGACUUUGAGUCCGGUUUCUGCGGUUGGGAGCCAUUUCUCACAGAAGAUUCACACUGGAAGCUGAUGAAAGGAUUGAAUAAUGGAGAGCACCACUUUCCUGCAGCUGAUCACACAGCAAACAUAAAUCAUGGAUCGUUUAUUUAUUUGGAGGCACAGCGCUCCCCCGGGGUGGCCAAGCUUGGAAGUCCUGUUCUUACAAAAUUGCUCACUGCCUCUACCCCAUGUCAGAUCUGAUAAAGGUGCAGCAAGUGUGGCAAUAAGCAGACUGAGGAAGGCAUAAAGGGUCUGAUGUGAAGCAGAGAAGGCAGAGGUGGCUGAGGGUUUGGAGUAAAAUCGAGAAUGGCCAUGAAGAUCUGACCAAGGAGCUCUGAGAUUGAGAAGGAAUUAGAACAAAGUCCAUAGGGAAGUUGAGAAAAUUGGCAGAAAAUUUGAAGAGGAGGGUUUCAACAGGAGAUGAUCAAAAUU